rnacentral:rRNA from 1 species
UGGGGAAUAUUGGACAAUGGGCGAAAGCCUGAUCCAGCAAUACCGCGUGUGUGAAGAAGGCCUGAGGGUUGUAAAGCACUUUCAAUGGGAAGGAAUACCUACUGGCUAAUACCCGGUAGACUGACAUUACCCAUACAAGAAGCACCGGCUAACUCCGUGCCAGCAGCCGCGGUAAUACGGAGGGUGCAAGCGUUAAUCGGAAUUACUGGGCGUAAAGCGUGCGUAGGCGGCUUGUUCAGUCAGAUGUGAAAGCCCCGGGCUUAACCUGGGAACUGCAUUUGAUACUGGCAGGCUAGAGUUUAGUAGAGGGGAGUGGAAUUUCAGGUGUAGCGGUGAAAUGCGUAGAGAUCUGAAGGAACACCAGUGGCGAAGGCGGCUCCCUGGACUAAAACUGACGCUG